rnacentral:tRNA from 1 species
GGGGGUGUAGCUCAGUUGGGAGAGCGCCAGCUUUGCAAGCUGGAUGUCGCAGGUUCGAUCCCUGUCACCUCCACCA